rnacentral:misc_RNA from 1 species
GCAAUAAUUUCUCAUGAUGGGGGCCAUGAAUAAUGGUGUAAGCCUCAGCUUUUGUUGUUUGAAUGAAGAAUCUGGUGAUGGGCCGGGGGGCACUAUUAUUCUGGAAAACAUAGCAAGCCACCGCGGGUCUAUGGCCCUCUAUUUGUAGUUUCUACCUUACUCUCCCCCUCUUCAAAGCAAUUCCUCCACCAGACAUGUGCUUUAUCGUCUGCUAUUAUAUAUUUUCAAGCCAGCUCUUGUGC